rnacentral:rRNA from 1 species
GAUGAACGCUGGCGGCGUGCCUAAUACAUGCAAGUCGAGCGAACGGACGAGAAGCUUGCUUCUCUGAUGUUAGCGGCGGACGGGUGAGUAACACGUGGAUAACCUACCUAUAAGACUGGGAUAACUUCGGGAAACCGGAGCUAAUACCGGAUAAUAUUUUGAACCGCAUGGUUCAAAAGUGAAAGACGGUCUUGCUGUCACUUAUAGAUGGAUCCGCGCUGCAUUAGCUAGUUGGUAAGGUAACGGCUUACCAAGGCAACGAUGCAUAGUCGACCUGAGAGGGUGAUCGGCCACACUGGAACUGAGACACGGUCCAGACUCCUACGGGAGGCAGCAGUAGGGAAUCUUCCGCAAUGGGCGAAAGCCUGACGGAGCAACGCCGCGUGAGUGAUGAAGGUCUUCGGAUCGUAAAACUCUGUUAUUAGGGAAGUACAUAUGUGUAAGUAACUGUGCACAUCUUGACGGUACCUAAUCAGAAAGCCACGGCUAACUACGUG